rnacentral:rRNA from 1 species
UUGACCUCAAAUCAGGUAGGACUACCCGCUGAACUUAAGCAUAUCAAUAAGCGGAAGAAAAGAAACUAACAAGGAUUCCCCUAAUAACUGCGAGUGAAGUGGGAAAAGCUCAAAUUUAAAAUCUGACAGUCUUUGACUGUCUGAGUUGUAACCUAGAGAAGUGCUACCUGUGCUGGAACAUGUUAUAA